AGUGAACGCUGGCGGUAGGCCUAACACAUGCAAGUCGAACGGCAGCACAGGAGAGCUUGCUCUCUGGGUGGCGAGUGGCGGACGGGUGAGGAAUACAUCGGAAUCUACCUUGUCGUGGGGGAUAACGUAGGGAAACUUACGCUAAUACCGCAUACGACCUUCGGGUGGAAGUGGGGGGCCGCACGGCCUCACGCGAUUAGAUGAGCCGAGGUCGGAUUAGCUAGUUGGCGGGGUAAAAGCCCACCAAGGGGACGAUCCGUAGCUGGUCUGAGAGGAUGAUCAGCCACACUGGAACUGAGACACGGUCCAGACUCCUACGGGAGGCAGCAGUGGGGAAUAUUGGACAAUGGGCGCAAGCCUGAUCCAGCCAUACCGCGUGGGUGAAGAAGGCCUUCGGGUUGUAAAGCCCUUUUGUUGGGAAAGAAAUCUUGCUGGUUAAUACCUGGCGAGGAUGACGGUACCCAAAGAAUAAGCACCGGCUAACUUCGUGCCAGCCGCCGCCGUAACAC
rnacentral:rRNA from 1 species